rnacentral:rRNA from 1 species
GAACUGAAGAGUUUGAUCAUGGCUCAGAUUGAACGCUGGCGGCAGGCCUAACACAUGCAAGUCGAGCGGAUGAAGGGAGCUUGCUCUCUGAUUCAGCGGCGGACGGGUGAGUAAUGCCUAGGAAUCUGCCUGAUAGUGGGGGACAACGUUUCGAAAGGAACGCUAAUACCGCAUACGUCCUACGGGAGAAAGCAGGGGACCUUCGGGCCUUGCGCUAUCAGAUGAGCCUAGGUCGGAUUAGCUAGUUGGUGAGGUAACGGCUCACCAAGGCGACGAUCCGUAACUGGUCUGAGAGGAUGAUCAGUCACACUGGAACUGAGACACGGUCCAGACUCCUACGGGAGGCAGCAGUGGGGAAUAUUGGACAAUGGGCGAAAGCCUGAUCCAGCCAUGCCGCGUGUGUGAAGAAGGUCUUCGGAUUGUAAAGCACUUUAAGUUGGGAGGAAGGGCAUUAACCUAAUACGUUAGUGUUUUGACGUUACCGACAGAAUAAGCACCGGCUAACUUCGUGCCAGCAGCCGCGGUAAUACGAAGGG